ACACCAAUACUCACCCAGCAAAGUGGUAGUGACUCAGCAUGAUGCUGGAGUCGCACCAGGGUUCGAGUAACGAAAUUGGUACCCCGAGUGAGAAGGAAAAAUUGUUUCCUCUCGACUUCCAUCGAGUGAUGAUGGUUGGCUUCCACUGAGUGUCAAUGGAAGAUGAAUGACAAAGGAGUUUAUUGUGACUCCGUCAUGACCAGACUGCAGUCUGGUGUCCGGGUCUUCCCUGAAGUGAAGAUUCGGGGUCGGGAAUGUUUAUCACAGAGAAUCAUGCCUCUGGUGAUAGCCGAAAUGAGGUAAUCCAAAUUACCUCUUUUUUUAUAAAAGACAGAGAAUCAACUUCUGUUACUACAAACGAGGAACAGAGCAUCACCUUA
rnacentral:sRNA from 1 species